CCGAGUUAGGGUUCCUCUCACGGGCCCGACCUCCCAACCCUGUGUCUAUCACACCUUGUCGUUGCUUCGGCGGACCGGUUAGACCCUCCACUGGCGAGUCUGACCGCCGGGGGUGCCACACUCCUGGAGAGCGUCCGCCGAUGGCCCAACCACAAACAACUUCUUUGUCCCAAACCGGUCGUCUAAAGAAUUAGUUGAUAUAAAAUCAAAAAACA
rnacentral:misc_RNA from 1 species